rnacentral:rRNA from 1 species
GACGAACGCUGGCGGCGUGCUUAACACAUGCAAGUCGAACGGAAAGGCCCUGCUUUUGUGGGGUGCUCGAGUGGCGAACGGGUGAGUAACACGUGAGUAACCUGCCCUUGACUUUGGGAUAACUUCAGGAAACUGGGGCUAAUACCGGAUAGGAGCUCCUGCUGCAUGGUGGGGGUUGGAAAGUUUCGGCGGUUGGGGAUGGACUCGCGGCUUAUCAGCUUGUUGGUGGGGUAGUGGCUUACCAAGGCUUUGACGGGUAGCCGGCCUGAUAGGGUGACCGGCCACAUUGGGACUGAGAUACGGCCCAGACUCCUACGGGAGGCAGCAGUGGGGAAUAUUGCACAAUGGGCGGAAGCCUGAUGCAGCAACGCCGCGUGCGGGAUGACGGCCUGCGGGUUGUAAACCGCUUUCGCCUGUGACGAAGCGUGAGUGACGGUAAUGGGUAAAGAAGCACCGGCUAACUACGUG